UAAGAAAGUUAAUCGUUGGAAGGACGUGUUAAGAACGAGUAAUGGAGGAGUCUUAUCCGGGGUUGUUUUAGUCAGGUAAUUUUCGAGGGCGAAAAUUCUGUAAGUGGGGGAGAGUUGUAACAUCCCAAUUUUUAUUAUUAGAAUAUUUAUUUAUUGUGGCGUGUAAUUUUCGUAAUUGAAUAUUUCGGUAUUUAUGAGUUUAGACUUAAACUGCUAACUAGAGUAAUUAAUAGAUGAGAAUUUCUUUAUGGAGCUUUAGGUGAGUUGUGCCUAAAAUAAAUAGAAUGAGUAUUAUGUUAGUAAGUUAGUAGAAUGGGGGGUGUGAAUUGGAAUUUUGUAGAAAACCUAACUAUAAAAGCUAGUUAGUAAGAGAAAGAGUCAUUAUUCACAUUUCUUAGGGAAGUUAGAAAGAGAGGCUCUAGAAACAAAAGGAGGAAGAAACGAAGAAGUGAGAACCAAGCUCAAAGAACAACCAAGCUUCCAUUUUUCAAGCUUCAUUAGAGAUUAUCAGGUUGUGUAUGUUUGUCGGUGUUCGAGUUGUUGGUGAAGCUCCGCUCUGAUUAUGACACGGGGAAGGGUUUAUCGAGUCUUGUACUUGUAUUCUUAUUUUAUUGUAAAUGUAUUAUUUUAGAAAAUAAUUUUUAUUAAGCGAGGUUUAUGCUAAUUAGCAAUGUUCUUGAAGUAUGUAAUACCUUAAACCACUAUUUUAUAUUUUAACUUCGACUUCGAGUCGUUUUAAUUUUAUUA